UACGGGGGGAGCAAGCGUUGUUCGGAUUUACUGGGCGUAAAGGGCGCGUAGGCGGCCACCGCAAGUCGAUCUGUGAAAUCUCCGGGCUUAACUCGGAAAGGUCAGCCGAUACUGCGGGGCUAGAGUGCAGAAGGGGCACUGGAAUUCUCGGUGGUAGCGAUGAAUGCGUAGAUAUCGAGAGGAACACCUGCGGCGAAGGCGGGUGCUGGCUGACACGUGACGCUGAUUGUGCGAAACUAAGGGGACGCGGAACGGG
rnacentral:rRNA from 1 species